GAGCGUUCUGUACGGAGUGAAGUCGUAGCGAAAGCGGCGGUGGACUGUACAGAAGUGAGAAUGCCGGAAUAAGUAGCGAGAAUUAAGUGAGAAUCUUAAUGGCCGAAAGUCUAAGGUUUUUGGAGGAAGGUUCGUCCGCUCCAAGUAAGUCGGGAGCUAAGGUCAGGCCGAAAGGCGUAGCCGAUGCACAAACGGUUGAUAUUCCGUUACCGUCUAUAAUUUAAACAAAGGGACACAUACAAAGCGUUUAACCCGGGCGAUGGUUG
rnacentral:rRNA from 1 species